rnacentral:rRNA from 1 species
UACGUAGGGUGCGAGCGUUAAUCGGAAUUACUGGGCGUAAAGCGUGCGCAGGCGGUUAUGUAAGACAGAUGUGAAAUGCCCGGGCUUAACCUGGGAAUGGCAUUUGGGACUGCAAGGCUCGAGUGCGGCAGAGGAGACUGGAAUUCCUGGUGUAGCAGUGAAAUGCGUAGAUAUCAGGAGGAACACCAAUGGCGAAGGCAGAUCUCUGGGCCGUAACUGACGCUGAGGAGCGAAAGCAUGGGGAGCGAACAGG